GUACCACUUGAAGAAACCAAACUCAAAUGUCAAGAGCCACCAUAUUUGAAGCAGAAACUCUGGCACAAAAAGAAAAAUGAUUUUCUCUCACUGGCAUUACUCAUCAUGUUCCAGAGAGUUUCUGGGUGAAUCUCAGCAGUGCCUACAGUUUUCCCAUCAACCCUAUUUGAAACCAUGGACCAGAUGCAUGGACCAGAUCCAUCCCAAAUAUCAAGAUAUUUCCCUGCCCUGUUCUAGUUAUGUGAACUUUAAAGGGACUUAUAAUUUUUCCUCUGUUUGAAGGAAAUUUACGGCAAAUGGAAGCAUGACAGAGACAGGCCAGUACGUCAUUUCACAGCAAUAUUGGUGAAGAGAACAAUGUAAAGGCAUCCCGAUUCUCACUGACUUGCAUCAGAAGAAGCUUUGCAGAAGAAAGACAAUACCACUGAAAGGAUGGGAGAUGAGACACUUAGUUUUAAUGGGGAGCCCUUUCUCUAAAUGGCUCUGGGCAACCACUUAACCCACUCCAGGUUUCAAUUUCCACUUCUGAAACAUAAGUGGAAAAAUGACAGAUGUGUGACAACAUUCUAAGAGUGUUUCCUUGAUUAACUAGGCACAUGAAUUGAAAAAGGAGAUCUUAAUAUGUGUGAUUAAAAAAGAAAAACAGUCAAGAAGAAUAAAAAAUCAAGGAGCAAAUGGAGAGGUUUAAGUACAAGUUUUCCUCUCAUUUUUCGAAUUCUAGUACCUAUCCCUUUUUGACAAAAGGGACUGUUUCAUUUUUUUUCCUUCAUUUGAAUGAUGAAUUAAAAAAAAAAAAACUAUAGAUUAAGGAAUGGUACACCAGACAUAUACUUAUAGAAAAGAAAAAUCACAGACUGUAUAUAAUUAACACUUGCAUGUAUCUUUUGCUACUUUUCUAUAUAAUUUAUGGGACUUAAGGUAUUGAGAAGGAGACAAAUAAAGAGACAGAGAAACAGACCAAGAGAGCACUUUUUAAAGUGUCCACUAAUCUAUGUUUACUAAUCUAAUUAUUGAUGCAAAUACAAGCAAAAAAAAAAAAAAAAGCCGGUCCUUGUUCUUCCAGAGCUUAUUUUCUAACCAGGAAAGACAUUAUCCAAAAGGAAGCUGGAAGGCUGAGGUGAAAAGAGGGAAGGAUACUUAUGUACUGAAUUCUAAGGUAGAAGAAUGGAGAGGCAGGAAGGGAACUAAGAAAGAGUAAAUAUGGAAGGCAUAGAUACUUCCUGAAAUGGUGGUCUUGAGUAGGAACUCAUGAAAUGGAAAAGAGGUAGAGGCAUCUACAUGCUGGUAAAUGGUAAAUAUUUCUCUCUGUGGAAAAAAGUGUACACAUGACAUGCCAUGACAUGCUUGUAGUUUAAUCUGCAUUAUUUACAUUUUCUCCAUCACUUUCUGGAGUCCAAAAUUCAACAAAAAUAGACAUCAAACCUUACUUUGUAGCAUUGACUGAUUUUUGAGGUAUAAAUGUCACACACAAAAUUUAAUAAUCAGUUGUCGGGAAACAGAUAUGGCUGGUUGAUUAUUUACUAUUCUUCCUUCUGUAAGAAGAUCAAAAUGACAUCACUAUGCUGAAGCCCAAGUCCAAUGUUCAGAUCAGACCAAUGUGUGCUCAGAAGGCUAUAUCACUGGUCAAACACAAAUGGCCCAUGUGAACAUUAUGGAGUAGAGAUGUUUCUAAAUUUAUGCAUCUCACAUUUCUUUUGAGCUAUUGCAAUUCUGUUUCACUCAUAGAACACAGCACUUUCUUUGUUACAGGCAUACUAUGUGGGAUGCCUGUAUCAGUGUCUCCCAUUUCUCACAAUCAAUUCCAAAGUUCUUCAGAGAGACAUUGACAGUGUCUUUGUAUAGUUUCUGACUAUUAUGUGAGUGCCCCUCUUGUAUCAGCUCUCCAUAAAAUAGUCUUUUAGGCUAGCAUAUGUUUGGCAUUCAGAUACUGUGACCAGCCCAUUGGAGUUGUGCUCUUUGUAGCAGAAUUGAAUGUUUGGCAGUUUAGCUCAAGAAACGACUUCAGCAUCAAGUACCUUAUCCUGUUAGGUGAUCUUCAAAUUCUUCCUAAGACAAUUCUAGUGGAGGUGAUUGAGUUUCCUGGCAUAACAUUGGAAGACUGGGUAGGAUUCAUAGCCAUAUACCACCUCUGCAUACCUUCAGUUUGGUAGGCAGCCCAGAACUUUGGAGCCUCCCAAACACUGAGCUAGUUCCAGCAAGGUAUCCUCAUUGAAAACUUCACAAUAGUGCUAAUAACAUCAUGCUAAAUAUCAUGGGAGCAAGUAGAAAACCCUGCUUCACUCUAUUGGCCCACAAAUAGCCUUCAGAGCAAUAUAAAAGUACUUUGGAUUGUUACUAUCAGUAUAAAACUGAAUUUCAUUUGACGUCUUCCUAAACCAAGAAUCCUGCAUUUCUCUUAAGUGUCAUUUGUACUUUACUUUUGAUGGAGUUAAAUGCUGUUUUAGAGAUGGAUGGAUUACCUUGCUGCUAAAGCUUGUGUGGAGUUCUUGCUUCUAGUAUAGUCUAAAUUUCCCUAUCAUUUUCAUCAAACCAACCUUGAUGCUUGCAAGUGUUCUGGCCCCAAUAUACCAGAUCUCUGAAAGCUUUCCACUCUUUUUCUGCUUCACUGUUGCCAAUUGUGUGUUGGCUCAGCUUUCUUUCAAAGUUACCAAUGAACUUCUUGUUGUUAAAUUUUCUGAUAGUCAUCUUUCCUUGGGGCCACCACUUUUGGUGAAGAAAAAAAUUAGUUUGCAGAAGUUAAGUCUAUAAUCAGUCCAACAUUCUGCCCCACACAUUGUCUUUGUUACUUUCCCAUCCUGUCUUUUUUCCUUAUAACAACAAAGUCUAUUAAAUGACAAUGUUUGCUAUGAAUGUGUAUCCAUGAAGUUUUAUUGAAUAUAAGUAAAUGAAAGACUGUUGGUGAUAGGGAGGGUCAUAAGAUGUAUAAGUCUUCAGGUAAGUGACCACUGUUGUUGCUGUUUCCAACUCCAUUUCUCCCAGUGACUCCUUGUCAUUUCUUGGUAGUCUUUGAUAUUUUGGCAUUAAAUUUAUAAUUUAAUUUAUGAGA